rnacentral:misc_RNA from 1 species
GACGGAGGGCGCAAGCGUUGUUCGGAAUUACUGGGCGUAAAGCGCGUGCAGGCGGCCUUCCAAGUCUCUUGUGAAAUUCCGGAGCUCAACUCCGGAGGUGCAAGAGAAACUGGGAGGCUAGAGACCGGUAGAGGCUAACGGAAUUCCUGGUGUAGCGGUGGAAUGCGUAGAUAUCAGGAGGAACACCGGUGGCGAAGGCGGUUAGCUGGGCCGGUUCUGACGCUCAAGCGCGAAAGCGUGGGGAGCAAACAGG